AUGUCAACUUCAGCCCAACCAACCCCGGCCGCUCCAUCGCCAGACCAGAAUGUCCAACUGACACCAGGAGAACAAGAAGACGUUGCUGGCAAAUCCCAAAUUCUAACCACACCAGAGGAGACUAGCACUAACGGAGGUACGCUUGAAAACAUGGCACUAUCCACGGAAGUAAUCACAGAGAGGACCGAGCAACGUUCUUCCGACGAGGGAAACACUGCGACAACGGAAAGUAAUCAGAACACCACCGAAGAGUCAGCGAGGUCGGCAUCGUCUCUUGCGCCGAUGACCGAAUCGACCUUCCAGACGCAAAGAAACGCCGAGAUGGCGAUGCCCACGGAUGCGCCACCGUCGUCGCCCGAGUCGGCCGCUGUGAAACCGGAGAGCUCGCCGAUCCAGGAGAUUGCCGUGACGACGUUUUCCUCCCCGGCGCAAAGCCAACUGGACAUAGCCAACGACACAGCAAUCAACAGAGUUUCCUCCGAUGAGCAAAUGCUCGAUCAAUUAACAACGACUCUCAAAGUCUGCACUCACUCGCCAAAGGAAGAGGCGACUGAAGGCGUGACUCAAACUGGUGCAACCGAGCCUAACCAAAGUAUUUUAGAUAAGACCACGAUUGAAAAUGAAUCGGAUAAAAUGCGCGUGGGGACUCCUGAUGAGACCACAACCAAUGGAAAACCAACCGACGAUCUGAAUGAUAUUCCUGUGCUGAUAAUUAUAUCCAGCACUGAAAAUGACGGCACCACGAAAGAUAAUCUCGACGCUUCCAGGACUGGAACAACGGAUUUGAAAAAUCAUGAUUUUAUUUCGACUGAUACUCCGUCAGUAACCUCAAGAAAUGAAUUACUCCCUACUGACUACAACCUAAUACCAGACGAUCCCUCUCUCACUAUUACAACCGCUCCUCAACAGAAUACUUUUGACGUGCCCCAAACUCCGACAUCAUCCAUCGGUUUAAGAGUCAAUGACGCCACCCCGACCGUCAUCACGACCCCUGAAAUAGUUCUUUCGACGAAUCCAUCUCGGGAUGGCACCUCAACCGAAUAUAUCCCACCAGUAAAUCAAGUCGAGCUAAACCUCGAUAGGCUUAACGAUAUUGAGUCGGCCACCGAUAAUAAAGGACUUACAACCGUCAUACCAGAGAAAACAUCCGAUCCUCAAAGUUCUGUAAAUAAUAAUCCGAAUAGUAUCAAUGAAAAUCUCCAAGAAUUAACAAAUCCUAUUGGGAACAAUGAUUUUAAUGAUUACAAUGUAAUUAAUGACAUUGAAUCUACACCAAGCAGUCGUAGCCAAGAAGAGCACACGAAUACAGAACAUGGUCAGUUGGCACACUCUCCUCCUGCUACUAAUUUUGGUGACACCGAAGACCUCAAAUAUAUCAACGUCAUCACCGAACCACAACUCAUAACUGAUAAACCUAAUUUUGGAGGCGAAAGUCCGAUACAGAAUUUCCCGAAAAUGAAAAAACACCUUCGCCAAAACUUUUUGAAAAUACCGAUGGGCCUAUAUCCGACCAAAAAAUCACGACCACACCAGAAAAUAGUGAGAAUUUCCAGACGGGAAACGGUUUCCGAUUAUUCGAUAAGAUACAUGACUUGA
rnacentral:lncRNA from 1 species